GGACUACCAGGGUAUCUAAUCCUGUUUGCUCCCCUUGCUCUCGCGCCUCAGCGUCAGGUUUAAGCUAGAAAACCGCUUUCGCCACCGGUGUUCCUCCACAUAUCUACGCAUUUCACCGCUACACGUGGAAUUCCGUUUUCUCCGCCACUCCUCAAGAUCGGUAGUUUCAAAUGCAGCUCCGAGGUUGAGCCUCGGAAUUUCACAUCUGACUUGCCAACCCGCCUACGCGCCCUUUACGCCCAAUAAAUCCGAUUAAUGCUUGCACCCUCCGUAUUACCGCGGCGGCUGGCAC
rnacentral:rRNA from 1 species